rnacentral:rRNA from 1 species
GACGAACGCUGGCGGCGUGCCUAAUACAUGCAAGUAGAACGCAGUUGCGAGCGGGUGAGUAACGCGUAGGUGACUACCUAUUAGAGGGGGAUAAACAUUGGAAACGAUAGCUAAUACCGCAUACUAGUAGAUGGACCUGCGUUGUAUUAGCUAGUAGGUAGGGUAAUGGCCUUCCUAGGCAACGAUACAUAGCCGACCCGAGGGGGAGAACCGCCAAAACGGGAAUGGGGAAAGGCCCAGACCUCUAAGGGAGGCAGCAGUAGGGAAUCUUCGGCAAUGGGGGGAACCCUGACCGAGCAACGCCGCGGGAGUGAAGAAGGGCUUCGGAUCGGAAAGGUCUUUUGUUAAGGAAGCGGUACUUACCCAGAAAGGGACGGCUAACUACGUGCCAGCAGCCGCGGUAAUAC